AUGGGGAUGGUGAGCCACAAGCAUCUGAGCAGGCUGGACUCGCAGGUUAGGAUUGGAGCUGCUGCUCCAGGAAGGGCACCUUGCCCUGGGCGACCCAACGCUCUUGAGAAGGCAAUACGGGGGUUCACUGACAAACCGGGUGACAUUGUAAUCGUGCUUGCACUGGGUACAAGCUUUGACACACUCGGGGAGGCCUAUGAUUUUUCCAAUCUCUACUCGUGGGAGAAGGGAUUUGGAAUAAGAUACAGGAAGAGUAUACUGAAUGUGGAGAGGACAAAAUGCAUGCAGGAAAUUGUUUGCGGCUGUGCGGGUAAAGCUGGGGUGGAGAACAGUAGAUCGUGCCGUGACUGCCCUGCAUUAAUAAGGUAUCUCCGCUCAAAGGCAAUGGUUGGUACAUAG
rnacentral:rRNA from 1 species